CUCCACUUGCUUAGACCCUAGACCACAUCAUUGUCUUAAGACUUACAUCAGCUACUCUACUAUGUUGGAACUCCCAACUCCUUAAUUCACUCUACAUAACAUCUUUGAUUCUAUAACACAACACUAAUUAACUAAACAUACUUGGGCCUAAUUCAUCUGCAGCCCAUUUUAACAAAACACAAAGCCCAACAUCUCUUUUGUUGACUUUGUUCCUUGCUCUUCUUUUACGCUUGAAGCUUCUUCUCUAUUCUUCUCUUCUUCUCAUAAAGCUUUCCUUAUUGCAGGAUUUAAUCUAGGAUUCACAAUUCCAACACUCCCCUAAGAAUCCUUAGAUUAAAUCCCCAAUUCGAUUUUAGGGAAUUCAAUCUCAUUGCUUCUUCUUCUCUUGGUGAUUCGCCUCUUCUCUUGUGCGAAUCCCUUUCACGAUCUUUGGCACAGCUCACUGGUGAAUUGGUGUUAAGUCUCGGUCUCUUGUCUUCCUCUUGGUGAUUUUCUUCUUAUCACACAAAGGUAACACUUUUGACUCUUCAUCACUUCGAUUCAACUACUCCUUCUUCUCUUUUCUUCAAUUGACCUCUCUUGUCAAUUGUUUCUGGUUUUCAGACAUUGGAGCUCUUGGGAUUUCUCUUUCCCUCAAGCAGUCUCCAUGUCUUCUCCGCAUCUUCUCGGUGAGCCUCCCUCACGUCUCUUCCGGUUGUCGCUGCAACCUUCUUCAGCUUCCUCUCUCUCAGGUACAAUCUCAAGAAGAACAAAGAUCAAACACAAAGAACAAAGAAGGAGAAAGCUUCUUGAAGAAUAAACUCUCGUUUCUUCUCUUUCUCUCUAGAACUCUCUUUGUGUCUUGUCUCACACCUACAUCCACAU
rnacentral:misc_RNA from 1 species